rnacentral:rRNA from 1 species
UAUACGGGAAGAAUGGUUCCUACGUGUAGGAAUUUGACGGUACCGUAAGAAUAAGCAUCGGCUAACUCCGUGCCAGCAGCCGCGGUAAUACGGAGGAUAGCAGCGUUAUCCGGAUUCAUUGGGUUUAAAGGGUGCGCAGGCGGAGUAUUAAGUCAGUGGUGAAAUCCUGCAGCUUAACUGUAGAACUGCCAUUGAUACUGAUAUUCUUGAAUAUAGUUGAGGUGGGCGGAAUGUGUAAUGUAGCGGUGAAAUGCUUAGAUAUUACACAGAACACCGAUUGCGAAGGCAGCUCACUAAACUAAUAUUGACGCUGAGGCACGAAAGCGUGGGGAGCGAACAGGAUUAGAUACCCUGGCAGUCCACGCUGUAAACUAUGAUCACUCGCUGUUGGCAAUACAUCGUCAGCGGCUGAGCGAAAGCAUUAAGUGAUCCACCUGGGGAUUACGAUCGCAAGAUUGAUACUCAAAGGAAUUGACGGGUGCCCCGCACAAGCGGAGGUACAUGUGGUUUAAUUCGAUGAUACGCGAGGAACCUUACCUGGGCUUAAAUGCAGAUCGACGUUUCGGGAAACCGGAAUUCAUUCGGGCGAACUGCAAGGUGCUGCAUGUCUGUCGUCAGCUCGUGCCGUGAGGUGUCGGGUUAAGUCCCAUAACGAGCGCAACC